UACGGAGGGAGCUAGCGUUGUUCGGAAUUACUGGGCGUAAAGCGCGCGUAGGCGGCUUUGUAAGUCUGUCGUGAAAUCCCCGGGCUCAACCUGGGAAUUGCGAUGGAGACUGCAAGGCUAGAAUCUGGCAGAGGGGGGUAGAAUUCCACGUGUAGCAGUGAAAUGCGUAGAGAUGUGGAGGAACACCGAUGGCGAAGGCAGCCCCCUGGGAUGAUACUGACGCUCAUGCACGAAAGCGUGGGGAGCAAACAGG
rnacentral:rRNA from 1 species